rnacentral:lncRNA from 1 species
AGGAGACUCCUGGGAAAAUUGAGCUGGAACUCGGGCUUUAGUUAAAUACCUUCCUCGGGUGGAUCCUGGUCUGACCCCCGUGGUAAUAACGUUAUCAUUGAUUCUUUAUCAUUUCCUAGAUUCUGUGUCCGUGCCUUGUUUGAAGAGCUUUUGAGAUACUCUUCCGAAAAAUGAAGACCUGCUCAAAUGACUUUUCCGUCAUUCAGCCAAACCACUGUCUUUCCCGUCAGGCCCAGAGGCGCCUGGUUCCCGCCCGCAGUAGGCAAGAAAGCGGGCGUUGCUCACUGGGACUUGUAGUAUGACGCCCGCGAGCUGUGAUGCGUUACUAACUGGCGCGAUCCACAGCGCCUCCUCUCCCGGCGUCUUCCUCUCUUUCAUUCUAAACAACGAUUUAAUUUCCUUGUUAAGAAGCCAUUUAGCCAACAGUAAGAAGUACACGUCUUUGCUUCCAGAAGGGUUCCCCUGAUGAAACACCGGAGGAAGGUGAAGUUGAACUUUACCUGAGCCCUGUGUUCCUGGAAAACAGCGGUGAUUAAGAAACCCCCUCAUCUAUUUGUGUUUCUGGAACGGCACACUGUAAAGAACCACCCGUCUCCAUGUGACUCAGAUAAAACGCGUGCAGAUGACCCCCUUGUUUGCCUGUGACAAGGCCAGAGACCUUUCCCCUUUAUUCUGAGCCUGUUAAUAAAGCCAAACAGACCUUCCAAAUUCCCGCUGAUGAUAUCGAGUGAUUAGUUGAGAUUAGAACUCUCCUCCCC